rnacentral:rRNA from 1 species
AUUGAACGCUGGCGGCAGGCUUAACACAUGCAAGUCGAGCGAGCGGCGGCCGGGUGAGUAAUGUCUGGGAAACUGCCUGAUGGUGGGGGAUAACUACUGGAAACGGUAGCUAAUACCGCAUACCAUCAGAUGUGCCCAGAUGGGAUGAGCUAGUAGGUGGGGUAAUGGCUCACCUAGGCGCCGAUCCCUAGCUGGUCUGAGAGGAUGACCAGCCACACUGGAACUGAGACGCGGUCCAGACUCCGACGGGAGGCAGCAGUGGUGAAUAUGACACAAUGGGCUCAAGCCUGAUGCAGCCAUGCCGCGUGUGGGAAGAGAGCCUUCGGGUUGUAAAGCACUUUCAGCGGGGAGACGUUACUCGCGGAAGAAGCACCGGCUAACUCCGUGCCAGCAGCCGCGGUAAUAC